UACAGAGGGUGCGAGCGUUGUCCGGAAUCACUGGGCGUAAAGGGCGCGUAGGCGGCGCGGUAAGCGUGCGGUGAAAGCCCGGGGCUCAACCCCGGGUCGGCCGUGCGGACUGCCGGGCUGGAGCACUGUAGAGGCAGGUGGAAUUCCGGGUGUAGCGGUGGAAUGCGUAGAGAUCCGGAAGAACACCGGUGGCGAAGGCGGCCUGCUGGGCAGUUUUGCUGACACUGAGGCGCGACAGCGUGGGGAGCAAACAGG
rnacentral:rRNA from 1 species